rnacentral:pre_miRNA from 1 species
CUUGGCGUAUAACAAUUAUUUGGAGAUAUUCCUCAGGCUUCGGCACGUUACCCAACCUGGAGACACUGUCGCUCGGACGUAAUCUGUUGGGUGGAUCGAUUCCUCAAGAAUGAGGAAUCGAUCCACCCAGCAGAUUAAGUCAGAGAGACAAUGUCUCCAGGUUGGGUAACAUGCCGAAGCCUGGAGGAAUAUCUCCAGAGAAAUUGUUAUACGCCAAG